rnacentral:tRNA from 1 species
UGCGGAGUAGAACAGUCUGGUCCACUUCAGCGGUCUCAUUAACCGAUAUCGUGGGUUCAAAUCCCACCUCCGCGACCA